rnacentral:tRNA from 1 species
AGUAAAGUAAGAUAUUAAUCUAUUAACCUUCAAAGUUAAAAUGAAUUGAUUAA